UUAACGGUCCUGGCUUCAAAUUUAUGGGCCUACGAUUGAACCAGAGGCAUUUUCACCACAUAUCCCAAUUCAAAUCUCGCGCCUGGAGUUUACCACACUUCCACUAAUCAAGGAGACGCAUUCAUUCCAAGCUCUUCCAACCAAAAUAGAGAACAUCACUUGUCUCGACAAGUCAUAGAGUUGACGAACGCCCUCGUACAACAUACGACCUUGGUGAAUCAACUCUUAUAGCACACCGAGAUGCAACGUUCCCCAUACAAGGUGUCCCAAAGUAGGCAAUGGCAGAUGAAGAACCUCUCUAGCAGCGUCCUGGUAAGCAGCUACUUGACUAGUCACGAGCCGAGCUUUCAGGCAGUGUACACUUCCAAUUGGGCACCUGAGAUAGCGUAUACUCCCGUCUUAGCACGCGGAGGAGUGCACACUUUCGACUAGGCCCACAAACGAGCAUACAUUCACGGUUGGGGCCACACUUCGAUAGUCAACAUGAGCAACCUUCCAGGCGAAGUGUUCAUUCGCGGCUAAGCCUGCAAAGAGCAUCUUCCACCUCACAUCGAAGUAGGUAGUGCAACGGAUGGUGAGAAGUAGUCACUCAAUCUGGCUCAAGUUCAACCAGCAGUCUGCGAAGAAUUCCCUUACCUACGAGGAACAGACCACAUACACUGUUGUCGUGACAUAGAUGAGCCGAGCACGUAAAAGGGCAACCUAGACUAGCAAGUCAAAACUGGGGGUAGCCGAGAGCUCCGUUACCCCAACAAAAACAAAUUUAGGAAAAGGUAAGAGGUUCUUAAACGAGCGAUUGCGUGAUUUCUAAUGCAAUGAAGUGGCCAAUGAAGCACUACGACAUGACCAACAUGAGCAUGUCCCUUUCGCAGGAGAUCGAGCGGGCAAAGCCUCCACGCAAGUUUAGCAUUCCAUAUUUCACAUCUUUCAAAGGAGAUGGAGAUUCGAAGAGGUACUUGAAGCAUUACCGAAUCACAAUGGUC
rnacentral:lncRNA from 1 species